rnacentral:rRNA from 1 species
AUUGAACGCUGGCGGCAGGCUUAACACAUGCAAGUCGAGCGGGGAAAUGUAGCUUGCUACAUUACCUAGCGGCGGACGGGUGAGUAAUGCUUAGGAAUCUGCCUAUUAGUGGGGGACAACAUUCCGAAAGGAAUGCUAAUACCGCAUACGUCCUACGGGAGAAAGCAGGGGACCUUCGGGCCUUGCGCUAAUAGAUGAGCCUAAGUCGGAUUAGCUAGUUGGUGGGGUAAAGGCCUACCAAGGCGACGAUCUGUAGCGGGUCUG